rnacentral:rRNA from 1 species
UGCAGUCGAGCGGACCGACGGGAGCUUGCUCCCUUAGGUCAGCGGCGGACGGGUGAGUAACACGUGGGUAACCUGCCUGUAAGACUGGGAUAACUCCGGGAAACCGGGGCUAAUACCGGAUGCUUGAUUGAACCGCAUGGUUCAAUCAUAAAAGGUGGCUUUUAGCUACCACUUNCAGAUGGACCCGCGGCGCAUUAGCUAGUUGGUGAGGUAACGGCUCACCAAGGCGACGAUGCGUAGCCGACCUGAGAGGGUGAUCGGCCACACUGGGACUGAGACACGGCCCAGACUCCUACGGGAGGCAGCAGUAGGGAAUCUUCCGCAAUGGACGAAAGUCUGACGGAGCAACGCCGCGUGAGUGAUGAAGGUUUUCGGAUCGUAAAACUCUGUUGUUAGGGAAGAACAAGUACCGUUCGAAUAGGGCGGCACCUUGACGGUACCUAACCAGAAAGCCACGGCUAACUACGUGCCAGCAGCCGCGGUAAUACGUAGGUGGCAAGCGUUGUCCGGAAUUAUUGGGCGUAAAGCGCGCGCAGGCGGUUUCUUAAGUCUGAUGUGAAAGCCCCCGGCUCAACCGGGGAGGGUCAUUGGAAACUGGGGAACUUGAGUGCAGAAGAGGAGAGUGGAAUUCCACGUGUAGCGGUGAAAUGCGUAGAGAUGUGG